AGUUUGCAGCAUUUGCAAAGGAGGCAGCGGAGCCGAGCAGUUGAAGGACAUCAAAUGAAACACGGGAGCGCUUUACAGCGGGUCCUCUUGAGUUUUGCGCGUAGCCUGUGUGCUCCGAGCCUGGAGACAGUACGUUUUAGUGAAAAUCAUGGAAGAUAAAUCAAAUUCGUUCUCCAGCAACAAAGAAGGGGAGAAAGCAGAUGGGAAUAAUGUAUUUCAAAGGCAAGACUCGAUACAGAAGAAUAAUAUGGGGAGCCAGAACAUGAAAGGAGGGGACCAUGGAAACUCGGUGGGCUUCAAGGGGGACCGGGAGGAAGCCUUGGUCGGGUUCGACGAUAUAGACGGGUCCGGAAACCGACAUGGCUUUAUGCAGCGGCAAUUUGGAGCGAUGAUGCAGCCCGGCGUCAAUAAGUUCUCCCUGCGAAUGUUCGGCAGUCAGAAAGCCGUUGAGAAAGAGCAAGAAAGGGUCCAGACGGCUGGAUACUGGAUCAUUCAUCCCUAUAGCGAUUUUAGGUUCUACUGGGACUUGGUAAUGCUGGUCAUGAUGAUGGGGAACCUGAUCAUCAUUCCUGUAGGAAUAACCUUCUUCUCGGAGCAGACCACCACCACCUGGCUAAUAUUCAACGUCGCAUCAGACACCAUCUUCCUCGUGGAUCUGGUCAUGAACUUCCGCACGGGGAUCGUCAACGAGGAGAGCUCUGAGAUCAUCCUGGACCCCAAGGUCAUAAAGAUGAACUACCUGAAGAGCUGGUUUGUGGUCGACUUCCUCUCGUCCAUACCAGUGGAUUAUAUAUUUCUAAUAGUGGAAAAGGGGUUUGACUCAGAGGUGUACAAGACGGCGAGGGCGCUGAGGAUCGUGAGGUUUACUAAGAUUCUGUCUCUUCUGAGGCUACUGAGACUUUCCCGGCUCAUCAGAUACAUACACCAGUGGGAGGAGAUUUUCCAUAUGACGUAUGACCUGGCCAGUGCUGUGGUAAGAAUAUUUAAUCUGAUAGGGAUGAUGCUACUGCUGUGCCACUGGGACGGUUGUCUGCAGUUCCUGGUCCCACUCCUACAAGAUUUCCCUCAAGAUUGUUGGGUGUCGCUAAACGGUAUGGUUAAUGACUCGUGGGGUAAGCAGUACUCGUACGCACUCUUCAAGGCCAUGAGUCACAUGCUGUGUAUCGGGUACGGCGCCCGGGCCCCCGUCAGCAUGUCCGACCUGUGGAUCACCAUGCUCAGUAUGAUCGUCGGCGCCACCUGCUACGCCAUGUUCGUGGGUCACGCCACCGCUCUCAUCCAAUCACUGGACUCCUCCCGCAGGCAGUACCAAGAGAAGUAUAAACAAGUGGAGCAGUACAUGUCGUUCCACAAGCUCCCCGCAGACAUGCGGCAGAAGAUCCAUGAUUACUAUGAGCAUCGUUAUCAGGGCAAGAUCUUUGACGAGGACAAUAUCCUGAGUGAGCUCAACGACCCGCUCAAAGAGGAAAUUGUGAACUUCAACUGUCGGAAGCUGGUGGCUACCAUGCCGCUGUUCGCCAACGCGGACCCCAACUUCGUGACGGGCAUGUUGAGCAAGCUGAAGUUCGAGGUGUUCCAGCCCAACGAUUACAUCAUCAGGGAGGGCACCGUGGGCAAGAAGAUGUAUUUCAUUCAACAUGGUGUGGCCAGUGUCAUCACCAAGCUUAACAAAGAGAUGAAGCUGACGGAUGGCUCUUACUUUGGAGAGAUCUGUCUGCUGACGAAGGGGAGACGCACGGCGAGCGUUCGCGCUGACACCUACUGCCGUCUCUUCUCCCUCUCUGUGGAUCACUUCAACGAGGUGUUGGAAGAGUACCCUAUGAUGCGCCGCGCUUUCGAGACCGUAGCCAUCGACCGCCUGGACCGCAUCGGGAAGAAGAACAGCCUGCUCCUCCAGAAGUUCCAGAAGGAUCUGAACGCUGGGGUGUUCAACACGCAGGAGAACGAAAUACUGAAGCAGAUAAUCCGUCAGGACAGGGAGAUGGUGAUGAUGGUGGACCGCAAGCAGUCGGUCACAGGGAUGUCGGUCACAGGGAUGUCGGUCACAGGGAUGAACACCACCCCGAUAUCUGGAAACUCCAUCAUUAACUCGCCGGCUCAGCCGCCCUACACCACUGCCCUGGGCAACAACCAGUUCCAGCAGUCAGCCACCUCUUUGACCUACAGCGCUUCGGCCGUCACCGCUCCCUCCUCCGCAGCCACCGCCCGCAUCCUGCCUGCCUCGGCGCAGGGUGUCUAUCCCGUCCCCAGCGUCAUCCACGGCAACCUGAACUCAUCCUCGCCCGUCCCCCAGACUCCCCUCUCUCUCCAUCAGCAAGGGUCCAUCAUGUCCCCGGUAUCCUUCACCACGGCGGUGUGCAGUCCACCCGUGCAGACCCCUGGGCUGGCGGGCCGCAGCUUCCAGUACGGCUCGCCCACCGCCUCCCAGCUCUCCCUUAUCCAGCAGCCGCUGCCUACUGCCCUACCACCGCAGCAACCACUACCACAGCCACAGCAACCAGGAGGAGCAGCGGCCUCCUCAGCAACACAACAACCACAACAACAGCAGCAAGUCCCGUCACCUCAGAGGAGUGACAGCCUCCACAAGGCCAGCCAUGCUCUCCAGUCGGGAAGCCUGAGUCGAGACGUGCGCCACCUCUCUGCCUCCCAGCCCUCCCUGCCCCACGACACGUCCCUGGGGCCCCGAGCGCACCCUGCAGCGUCCGGGGACUCCCUGGCCUCCAUUGCCCCGCCGGUGGCUGCGGUCCAGGGUAUGGGUAUACAGAGCGGUCUCCGCACCACAGUGCCCCAGAGGGUCAACCUGUUCCGCCAGAUGUCAUCAGGAGCGUUGCCUCCGGUGCGAGCGGUGUCCUCUGCAGCCCAGCACAGGGAUUCCACUGGUUCUAGGAGAGAUUCUAGAAGAGAUUCUACCUUAAGCAGUACAGAGACUGAGCAAGAUAAGAUGCGGUUCGCAUCAAAUUUAUGAUCCCAUUUUUCUUUUUUUUAAACUUCUGUUUAAUUUAAUUUUUAAAUGGAGAUACAAAAAAAAAAGAUAAAGAUGAACUUGAGUAUUUUUUUGUUUUCUCAAAAAUUUUCUUCAGAAAAAAAAAUUAGCCUAAAGGAAUUCCUGUACAGACUGCCCUUGUAUUAUAUUUUAGACACAUUUUCUCCCUACAUUUAAGAAUGUAUAUUAAAUAAAUAUAUAUAUAUAUAUAUGUGUGUAAAUCCAACUAGAAUAUUUGGCAAAGACUAUUUAAAAGCUCUAGUAUAUAAACAUGAGUCUUCCUUUCCAAAAAAAUAUAAAUAUAGAUAUCAAAUGUAUGGAGAGAGGGGGGGGGGUUGUUUGUUAUUUUCUGUUUUUGUAAACUGGAAUGCAUCGUGAUGAAUCCUGACAGAUGACAUUUGGAUUUUUUUUUUUUUUUUUGUACCUGCGAGAAGAGGAAGUAAAAUAUCUUCUCACAUUACGCAGCUUUGUCACCACUGUGGAAUAACUGACGCAAGCGAACCUUGAUACUGUCAAAAAAAAAGAAAAGCACACACUCAAACAUAAAUCUAAUGACAGAACUUGUGGGACCUUAAUCUUAGCAAUCAACACAGGUACAAUAGCUAGGUGUUCCAUUGCUCUCAGCAAUACAUCCUCUUGAGCCACAGUGUCCUCACACAGUGGUCGGUGAACACCACGACAGUGUUAUGGGUCCAAAGGAAUGAUGUAAAUAGAAGUGAUGCUCUUUUUUUGUUUCUAGAAGGAUGAUGUUGUGAGCGAAGAAUGGAUGAUGCUGUUUUUAGUCCUAAUUUCAGACAGUGAUAGACGUUAUGUAAUGUUGCUUAACAAAACUAUGUGUACAUUUAUAAUAUUUAUAAACUAAAGAUUAUCACCAUUAUGCAAUAGACUGUGAUAUAAAGAUUAUCUAUAUGUGUGUUGUAAAUAGUUUUGUAGAUCUAGUAUUUACAGAUACUGUGUGGUGCAUUCUCAAUCAUAACAAUGUCUUACUUCUUUCAGGAACCUUGAUAUCUUCAUCAUCAUCUAUAUGUGAGAAAAAAAGUUAAUAAGUGACAACAAUGCAUAUAUUCAUUAGAGAUAAGAAAACCUUAACGCAAUAGCAAGCACUACUUGACACUGAGAAAUGCCUGUCAUACUGAGAAUCUUCAUUAGUCUGCAUAGUCCUUGUUUCUUUCUUCAUUUUAACCAUCUAGCAAGCAAAAGAGAAGCGAAUGAGGGAUUAAAUAUUUUUUUAACGCUGAGGUUACAACACUUUUCAACACAUUUAACGCUGAGGUUACAACACUUUUCAACACAUUUAACACUGAGGUUACAACACUUUUCAACACAUUUUAACACUGAGGUUACAACACUUUUCAACACAUUUAACACUGAGGUUACAACACUUUUCAACACAUUUAACACUGAGGUUACAACACUUUUCAACACAUUUAACACUGAGGUUACAACACUUUUCAACACAUUUAACACUGAGGUUACAACACUUUUCAACACAUUUAACACUGAGGUUUUAACACUUUUCAACACAUUUAACACUGAGGUUUCAACACUUUUCAACACAUUUAACACUGAGGUUACAACACUUUUCAACACAUUUAACACUGAGGUUUCAACACUUUUCAACACAUUUUAACACUGAGGUUACAACACUUUUCAACACAUUUAACACUGAGGUUACAACACUUUUCAACACAUUUAACACUGAGGUUACAACACUUUUCAACACAUUUAACACUGAGGUUUUAACACUUUUCAACACAUUUAACACUGAGGUUUCAACACUUUUCAACACAUUUAACACUGAGGUUACAACACUUUUCAACACAUUUAACACUGAGGUUUCAACACUUUUCAACACAUUUUAACACUGAGGUUACAACACUUUUCAACACAUUUAACACUGAGGUUACAACACUUUUCAACACAUUUAACACUGAGGUUUCAACACUUUUCAACACAUUUGUAGCAUGGACUCCGUAACACCUGUUACUAUACACUUCAAACACGUCUCCCCUGUACGUACAUCUCCUUUGCAACCAUGUUAUUUGUAGAGAUGCUAUAUUUUACUUCAGUCACACGCUACACAAUACAGUAAUACCCUUUUACAGUGUGUUUUUCUUACUGUGGGUGUGCCGGGUGAGUAAACCUACCCAUUCCUUACAGCAAUUAAGAGUUAUUGUAUGUUUGACUACCCAUACACAAUGUGACACUUUAGAAUUACUGUAAAUAUGAAUCAUUGUUGAAUCUAUCAUAUCUUGACUCCAAAUUAUUUAGUUAGUUUUGACAUCUUUUGAUUUCCGAGGGUACGGAUGGCCUGUUUGGAUGGUUUAGACAGGCUUUCUGUUUUUUUUUUUUUAUGUCUUUUUCAUAUUUCAUUUCAUUGACUCACCUUCCAUAUCAUGUUUUCAAAUAAUGUGAUCGUCUAGUGUGGCAGUGGAAUGGAAAGGAAAGUUUUCAUACCGACAGAAAAUUUAUAAAUUCAGUCUUUUUCUGCAAUACGCCCAUCUGCUGUAGGUUUGCAAUCAUGACGUAUGAAUUUUCCAGUCAAAGUUAAUGUUGAAGAAGACUGACAUGACCUUUUCCAGACACCUCUCUUUUUGAGUAGGUCAUGUUAUAAGUCAAGUGUUUGGGCCCCGUUUUAAAAACAAUCACCGUGUGUGAAUCAGAGCGAGAGUAACAUAUGCUGGGUUGCAUUAAGGUUUCUGUCUCUUGUGUGUCUGAAUCCAUCAUAGUAACUGUAACAAUAUCAACAAAAUUACAAUGUUUAAGCUUAUUUAUUUUGUGUCCUGGGGGGGGGGGGGGGGGGGGUCCAGAAAUGUGACUAAACUUUGAGACAAUUCAUUAAGGUCAGUCAUUCUAACACAGCUUACCCUCAUGUGGUUGCAGACUAUUUGACAUGCUUAUGAAUUGAUGUGUAUGUUUGCUAGAGACCCCCCCCCCUGUAUUGUGUAUAGUAACCAUGUGAGUAAUUAGUAUGAUAUGUUCCUCACAGACAACCACCUCUCAUGGUUUUAGAGUCACAAUCUUCAUGGCGGCAAACAUGCUCCAUCAGUCGGCUCUGAGUAUCUAAGCCCCCCCCCUCCCUUCUUAGAGAUACACCUAAAAAAGAUGAGCAGUGCUUCAAUACAGACAACGUGUGUGAACAUUCUUCCGAUAGAGUCCACCCCCCCCAAAAAAAAAAAAAUGUCUCAUAAAAAGCAUGCACUUCUCACAAAUACUUAAAAAGAUACUAUAUACAAAACGGUUAACGUUAAAUGUACUGUGAGAUUAUGUUUUCAUUGUCUGUCUAGACGUUAUUUGUGUGCAACGAAAGCGUUAACAUUUUCACAAAAGGACACUUAAGUAUUUGUGCCUAAAACUGUAGCCAUGUCAUUUACUUCUUUUUUGUUUGUUUUGAGUGGGAGGAGCUAUAAUGUGCAUAUGCACCUAUACAACACAUAUAUUACUUAUCAUAUGUGUUCUAUGUUUCAAUAUUAUUAUUUUUUUGAGAGGAAGAUGUAACCAAUGAAGAUGAUGGCCAAAUGUCUCAGUUUAACAAUUGGAAUCUUUGAAGACAAUUGCGAACUUCUAUGAAAAGGCUCUCUCAUUCUGAUAUAGAACUCUCUGAAUUACAGUAAUGACUAGUACAGUCUCUACAGAACUGGGAGGAUACUAACACGUCGACGAGACAUUGUAAAAAAAUUUGAAGCACCUUUUGUAACUUCCUUUGUAGCUAGCCACUGAUGUUUUGUUGAUUGUUAAUGUUGCGCGGAAUGAAACUGGCCAAAGCAAAACAUUCAAAGUAAUUUUCUUUGUUUUGAAUUGCACUUUCUGAUGAAAGAAAAAUACGAUACAGACUCUUCAGUCGGUUAUUUUAAGUGAAUAGAAGGUUUAAAGGGAGACGUAUGAUCUAGAUUGGAACUCUCUAAACAUGGAGAAAUGUUCUAUUCCAAGACUGCUUAAUCCUGAUCUGCCAUGGUGAAUGUAUUCAUGGGUUGCACCUCCGUCUCGUCGUUGCCAUUGUAAACGUUUUACAGACGCCGCAGCCAUACUGGUGCCCAAAAAGGACAGUCAUGCCCAGUCAUUCUGAACGGGGCUAAUGACUGUUUCAUCUAAAUUACACUAUAGUGGCCGGGAAAUACGAUGACAUUACUAAAGUAGGCAAAUGUUUAGUAGGAAUCAGCUUUGCCAUCGUCAUUAAUGUAGUCAAACUUACUUUAGACAGAUGACAAUGUUGUCAUUAGCUAGCAAAGAUUGUCCAAAAUAGUUAGCAAAGCUAACUUUAGCUAGCUUAAUUCCGGUGGUCUCCCCUCAAUCUUAGCUAGCUAGCUAAUGUUACACCGCAUCUAAAGUCAAUCUGGUGACACCAUUUUCUCCUUAUUUCGCCAGGUAAAUUGACUGAAAACAAAUGUUCAUUUACAGCAAUGACCUGGGGAAUAGUUACAAGGUAGAGAAAGGGGGGUGAAUGAGCCAAUUGGACAAUGAUGACAAACCUGCAAAUGAUUUGCCUCUACAAAUGUCAUUGUAUUUCCAAGCCACUGUCAUUGCACAUUUGAUGAAAUCUUCAUCAGAGCCAAUUGACAAUGCAUUGAGUAGAGCGCUCGGUCGGGCAUCAGUCCUAAAACGAACGUUCAAAACAACAUUGUGACGAAAUUUGCAACCCACGAAUAGGAACUAUUCCACGGUUCGGAUGGAUAGCAGCGCUGUUGGUUUGUGCUGUUUUUGACACUUGCCUUUGGAGGGGAAAGCUUCCCAGCUAUGUGCUUUUUUUCUCUCACAAUAAUUCCGACCACAGCUGUCUAGCAUUCUGGAAUGGGCAUUAUGACGUAUGUAGUACAACACGAACGGACGAAUCAGCUUACAGUUUUAGCAGUAUGGAGAACUCUCAAUUAACCAGCACAUAUAUUUGUACAUUUAUUUUGUUGUGUUUUUAAAUAAAAAUUGCUAAAAUGAACCAAGCCCAGUGCCCAGAGAAAGGAAACUAGGGUCUUUAUUCACAAAGCCUCUCAGAGUAGGACUGCUGACCUAGUAUUAGUUUGACCUUUUGGAUAAAUUCAUGUGAUUAUUUGGACAAAAGGAAAAACUGAUUUUAGAUCAGUACCCCUAAACUGUUGUUUUGUGAAUACGGGCCCUGGACUUUUGGGUUCUGAACCUUGACAGUGCAGGUGUAAUAUGUUAACUGAUAAUGUGCGAUAAUGUUCAUCUUGGAGAGAUUAUGGUGUAGAUAAUGCUGUAAGUUACGAGCCACACGUACGUUCCUCUUAAACCCCGCUGACAGAUUCAUGUUAAUAAAACAAGCUUGGUAAAAAAUGAACAGUUAGUUGGUUACUUGACACAGAGUUCUUACAACUAUAUGCAGACAAAUGGUGUUUGUCAAAAAAAUUAUUUUGAUUUCUGUUUGAAUUUUGUUUUGUUUGUAAAUAAUAAACCUUUAACAUGUAGAAAAUAAAAGACAUAUUGUCAUUUA